rnacentral:tRNA from 1 species
AACUUAUAAAUCAUAAUGAUGGUGAACUGUAAAUUCACAUUUGAUAGAACUUUUAACUU